UUGAUCCUACGGGAGGCAGCAGUAGGGAAUCUUCCACAAUGGGCGAAAGCCUGAUGGAGCAACGCCGCGUGGGUGAAGAAGGUCUUCGGAUCGUAAAACCCUGUUGUUAGAGAAGAAAGUGCGUGAGAGUAACUGUUCACGUUUCGACGGUAUCUAACCAGAAAGCCACGGCUAACUACGUGCCAGCAGCCGCGGUAAUACGUAGGUGGCAAGCGUUAUCCGGAUUUAUUGGGCGUAAAGGGAACGCAGCCGGACGUUUAAGUUUGAAUUGAAAGCCUU
rnacentral:rRNA from 1 species